rnacentral:rRNA from 1 species
CACGCAGGCGGUCUGUCAAGUCGGAUGUGAAAUCCCCGGGCUCAACCUGGGAACUGCAUUCGAAACUGGCAGGCUUGAGUCUUGUAGAGGGGGGUAGAAUUCCAGGUGUAGCGGUGAAAUGCGUAGAGAUCUGGAGGAAUACCGGUGGCGAAGGCGGCCCCCUGGACAAAGACUGACGCUCAGGUGCGAAAGCGUGGGGAGCAAACAGGAUUAGAUACCCUGGUAGUCCACGCCGUAAACGAUGUCUACUUGGAGGUUGUGCCCUUGAGGCGUGGCUUCCGGAGCUAACGCGUUAAGUAGACCGCCUGGGGAGUACGGCCGCAAGGUUAAAACUCAAAUGAAUUGACGGGGGCCCGCACAAGCGGUGGAGCAUGUGGUUUAAUUCGAUGCAACGCGAAGAACCUUACCUGGUCUUGACAUCCACAGAAGAAUCCAGAGAUGGAUUUGUGCCUUCGGGAACUGUGAGACAGGUGCUGCAUGGCUGUCGUCAGCUCGUGUUGUGAAAUGUUGGGUUAAGUCCCGCAACGAGCGCAACCCUUAUCCUUUGUUGCCAGCGAUUAGG